AAAACGGAGUCUUUAGACUCCAUAAUUCCAUGAUUUUAAAAAAAG
rfam:Callithrix jacchus chromosome 3, whole genome shotgun sequence